rnacentral:rRNA from 1 species
GACAAACGCUGGCGGCGUGCUUAAUACAUGCAAGUCGAACGGAAAGGCCCUGCUCUUGCGGGGUGCUCGAGUGGCGAACGGGUGAGUAACACGUGAGUAACCUGCCCUUGUCUUUGGGAUAACUUCAGGAAACUGGGGCUAAUAUCGGAUAGGAGCUCCUGCUGCAUGGUGGGGGUUGGAAAGCUUCGGCGGUUGGGGAUAGACUCGCGGCUUAUCCGCUUGAUAGUGAGGUAGUGGCUUACCAAGGCUUUGACGGGUAGCCGGCCUGAGAGGGCGGCCGGGGACAAUGGGACUACGGGACGGACCAGACGCGUACGGGAGGCAACAGGGGAAAGUAUUACAGAACAGGCGGGAGCCUGAUGCGACAGCGCCGCGUGCGGAAAGCCGGCCUUCGGGUUAUAAACCGCUUUCGCCUGUAACAAAGCGUGAGUGACGGUAAUGGGUAAAAAAGCACCGGCUAACUACGUG